rnacentral:tRNA from 1 species
UUCGCCUUAGCUCAGCUGGUAGAGUAGUAGUUUUGUAAACUAUUGGUCGGGGUUCGAGUCCCUCAGGCGGCA